GACGAACGCUGGCGGCGUGCCUAAUACAUGCAAGUAGAACGCUGAAGAGAGGAGCUUGCUCUUCUUGGAUGAGUUGCGAACGGGUGAGUAACGCGUAGGUAACCUGCCUUGUAGCGGGGGAUAACUAUUGGAAACGAUAGCUAAUACCGCAUAACAAUGGAUGACACAUGUCAUUUAUUUGAAAGGGGCAAUUGCUCCACUACAAGAUGGACCUGCGUUGUAUUAGCUAGUAGGUGAGGUAACGGCUCACCUAGGCGACGAUACAUAGCCGACCUGAGAGGGUGAUCGGCCACACUGGGACUGAGACACGGCCCAGACUCCUACGGGAGGCAGCAGUAGGGAAUCUUCGGCAAUGGGGGCAACCCUGACCGAGCAACGCCGCGUGAGUGAAGAAGGUUUUCGGAUCGUAAAGCUCUGUUGUAAGUCAAGAACGAGUGUGAGAGUGGAAAGUUCACACUGUGACGGUAGCUUACCAGAAAGGGACGGCUAACUACGUGCCAGCAGCCGCGGUAAUACGUAGGUCCCGAGCGUUGUCCGGAUUUAUUGGGCGUAAAGCGAGCGCAGGCGGUUUGAUAAGUCUGAAGUUAAAGGCUAUGGCUCAACCAUAGUUCGCUUUGGAAACUGUCAAACUUGAGUGCAGAAGGGGAGAGUGGAAUUCCAUGUGUAGCGGUGAAAUGCGUAGAUAUAUGGAGGAACACCGGUGGCGAAAGCGGCUCUCUGGUCUGUAACUGACGCUGAGGCUCGAAGGCGUGGGGAGCGAACAGGAUUAGAUACCCUGGUAGUCCACGCCGUAAACGAUGAGUGCUAGGUGUUGGAUCCUUUCCGGGAUUCAGUGCCGCAGCUAACGCAUUAAGCACUCCGCCUGGGGAGUACGACCGCAAGGUUGAAACUCAAAGGAAUUGACGGGGGCCCGCACAAGCGGUGGAGCAUGUGGUUUAAUUCGAAGCAACGCGAAGAACCUUACCAGGUCUUGACAUCCCGAUGCUAUUUCUAGAGAUAGAAAGUUACUUCGGUACAUCGGUGACAGGUGGUGCGUGGUUGUCGUCAGCUCGUGUCGUGAGAUGUUGGGUUAAGUCCCGCAACGAGCGCAACCCCUAUUGUUAGUUGCCAUCAUUCAGUUGGGCACUCUAGCGAGACUGCCGGUAAUAAACCGGAGGAAGGUGGGGAUGACGUCAAAUCAUCAUGCCCCUUAUGACCUGGGCUACACACGUGCUACAAUGGUUGGUACAACGAGUUGCGAGUCGGUGACGGCAAGCUAAUCUCUUAAAGCCGAUCUCAGUUCGGAUUGUAGGCUGCAACUCGCCUACAUGAAGUCGGAAUCGCUAGUAAUCGCGGAUCAGCACGCCGCGGUGAAUACGUUCCCGGGCCUUGUACACACCGCCCGUCACACCACGAGAGUUUGUAACACCCGAAGUCGGUGAGGUAGCCUUUUGGAGCCAGCCGCCUAAGGUGGGAUAGAUGAUUGGGGUG
rnacentral:rRNA from 1 species